UUUAGGUAGAUGUUUGGGUAGAAUGUUUAUGUAAAUUGAUAUUUCUAUGAACAGAACUAAAGACGCAAAAAUUUGUUUCACCUACUAAAUAUCAUGACGGAUACUGUACUUUGCUUCUUUCGUAUAUAUGUCCGCAUAUUACGUGCAUUAUGUGCAUUUUUACUUUUACGUUUCUUUUAACGCUUCAAUUUGAAUUUAUACGAGGUACCGGGAACAAAGGUGAACUAAGCCAUAUUUUUCUCGAUGCAAGUUUACGUUAUUAACUUAUUGCGAUAAGCUGCUUAAUCGUGAAAAAAUGGAGGAACUCGUUCUUUUUUUCAAAACAAACCUAGAUAACAUAACGACGAUAACAUAACAUAUUGAAUAUUUUAUGUUCACGUUUUUUUAGACAUUUUUAGUAAAUCACUCGAUUUGUUGAGUAAUUGGGAUUCGCACACUUUUGUUUUCAACGUCUAGCGUGUACGUGUAAUCUACUCUUGCUGCUGAUACUUUCGAAGUAAAUCUAGAAGCUCGAAAACUUGAGAAAUUAAUUUAAAAAAUAGAGAUUUUUCAUUUACGUGUAACAGAAGAUCGAUGAAUUAGGUUUUGCACUCGAGGUAAUCUAAUCUGUAGACAUUUUAAAAAAGAAUCGAUUUCUUUUUAAUUUCUCAAGAUACGCGCACAAAGAGAGGAGAGGUUCUAUCACUUUCGAAUAAUGCGAUUGAUUCCAUUCUAUCAAUGAAGGCAUGCCGAUGUUUGCCAACCAUUUCAACGAGCUUCAUUGUCUUUCUUCAAUUUUAUUAUUAGGUUUCAUAGCACGCGCAAACGCAUAACAUAUGCGAAAUGAAAAUAGAUUCAUUGCGCCUCUGUUACCAUGGCCUUCGCUGCAUAUUUGCUUACAAGGUGCGUCUUAAAAGCAUUGUAAACACCGCGUACUCUAUCUACCAGUUGAUUGCGUAUCUCGUUUGGCGCGGAAAGAAUCGAACUCGCCGCAGUGCCACUUGCUUUAUCCAUAGGCUGCUUACUAGAACCAAAUCUAAACCGCUGUUGAUUUACCCCAGUCGCGUGAACACUACAGUAAUUGAAGAAUACUCGUUAAAACAGAUAAUGUUCGAUCAUUUGGAACAUUUAAAAACAAUGUAAAAAUAAGUUUGUUCUUCUUCAAAUACUAUCACGAAGAAAAUACAUAAUGAUGAUUGAAAUGGUUAUUUAUACGCAAGACGAAAAUCAAAAAUGACAAAAGUGCGCCGGAGGUUUCGUGUUUGAAAAAAUCGAGUUUGAAAAUUUACGAGAUACAGGGUACGUGAAUUUGAUCAAUUGUCGGCUGGACAGGAAUGGACAACUGAUAAGAAGUUAUUCUACACAAAUAAAUUGACAAUGAAGAAUAAAAUUUUGUUGUUUACACUCUCGUUUCGGGGACAAUGAAGUCUAGAUAUGUUUUAUUCUACAUUUUUUAUAUGUAUUUCCAUAUGCAAUAUAAUUCAUCGAUUAUAGAUUAUCGACUAUCUACUCGUGUUUAUCUGAGAAUCAAACGGAUUUACGUAUACUUCACAAAUUAUCAAACUCGAUUUUCUCAAAAAACGAAGCCCCCAACGCAGCUUUGUAUGUGUUCAAAUUCUAUUAGUCAUCGCAUGUACAAUCACGAAAAUAUUCUUCAAAUUUAUUGCAGUUACAGGCUAAAACUCGCGAAGAACUGCAAACUUAUAGCGAUGUUAACCGAUGUCGAUGAAACUUUCAGUAUGUAUAUAACUGAUAUAAAUGUCCAAAAUAUGUUGUUUAAAUUUUUUUAAUAUUUCUUUUACACAUUAUCUGCUACUAAUCCUUCUGGCUUCUCAAGAAAGUUCAAGUCGUUUGGUCCAAUUUUUGAACAGUUAUUCUACUUUAAAGAGUGUACAGAUAUUUUCAUGACAGACUAUAGUCAACGCUUACGAUAAGAAUGAAAAAUUGUAAGCCAUAGAAAAACCCAGUGAACUAUUACACGAACGGUCUAGUUAAUUUUUAUUAUCAAUUUAAUCCUACGAUGUAUACCUACCGAUAAAUGAAGUUAAGUUAAAAAAAAAGAAACAGGGAAACUCAUUUCGUUCUUCCUUAAUGUCGUAUCUGGAACGAUGGUUGAAUUAAUAAUACGCCCCGAUCUAACAAUAAACCUCGUAACUCGAACGAGUCUCAUCGACCUCGUUCGAGGACGGAUGAAAAAUAAUCCGAAUAAAAGGAACAAGCAAAAUUCGCCAUUAUCGAAAAUUUCACAAAAAUUCAUUCUGAAAAAGGGAAGAGAGAAGAAUUUUUCAGAAAACGUUUUUAAAAGAGGAAUCGACGAUAGGUAUCUGAUGGACAUGCACGUCGAAUUAACGAAGCAGCCCAUUGAAACGGUACAACAAAAGUCCGAUCGUUCCAUGCGGCGUUAUAUUUACCAGUUGCUUGGGUGUGUUGAAAAAUAUAAAGAGGCACGCUGUGCGUGGUAAUACCAGGCUGUGAUAUUAAAUUCGAUGCAACGAUGGCUCACGGUUGUAGGAAUUUGUUUACAAAUUGAUGAUAGUGGCUCUUCGAUCGUCCGAUGAUUAGUUUCUGUUGAUGGGACCGAGCGAAAGAAAAAUUAUAUAAUUGACGUCGCUCUAUGACCAAGGUGAUGAUGAUCGCUUCAAGCUUUCUGAUGAAACCGACGAGUAGCUUAAUUUUUUUGCGAUACGAUGUUUAUCAUUUACCUCGUCAUUAUAGAUAAUUAGCACAAGAUAUUCGACAUAUCUUCAGAUAUCUCAUAUUGGGACCAUUUUUAACACGUAUUGAAUGCGUUUAAUUUUUUUAUUGGAUAUAUGUUUGCAGUAAAUGUCUUGUAACUUUUAUAUAAAUUUUUAGAUUGAGUUUAAAUUUUACCAAUAUACAUUGCCUAUCAUAAGGAUUAAUAUAUCUACUCGUUGCCAUUGUUGCAGAAGUUUAAUUUUUACUUUGUUUAGUAACUUACAUUGUAAGCCACAUACGAGCCACAGAAGAAUUAACAGACGAAUUAACAGAUUUAUAAUAAAAUAAUGAAAAAAUAAAGGCAUUGCAAGGCAUUCAAUUUAAAUUAACGUCAUGAAGUGUCCAACUACAUAUAACCGGUAAUGUAAUUAUGACAAUCGUGUCUCGAUAUAGUGCUAAUGAAAUUUUAAAAUGUACAAGUUUUCCACAAUGAACGUUUAAAUACUCUUGCAUGCCUGUAUAUGAAAAUCAAAGGGCAGAAAAAUAUAAUAAGGCUAUUUUCCUUAGUUUUCAUAACUUUUAUGUUAUUUUGUGGCUGAAAAGUUAUAUUUUAAUGCGAAAUACACAUUCGAAGAAGCGAGUGAUCUCAUACAUUUGACGAUGCUUAUAAAUCUUUUGAAAAUAGGCGAUAGAUCCACAGUGAUUUUUAAGAAUUAAAUGUUUGUGUAAUUGUCAUGUUGUUUCAAUUAAAUUAAUAGGAAUCUACAAUAACUGCUGUUAUUAACACAUCUUAAAUAUGUAAGAGGAUAAGAAGAACACAUAUUUAAUCCCAAAAUCAAACGCAAACACAACUUUGAUAUGGAAUUGCUUGGCAAUCUAUUCAAUUUUAAUAUUGCUCAUCUAUAAAAGACGAGAAAUAUGAUUUAUCAUGUUUUUCACUUGUGGUUGUGCUCUCUCUAAGAGAAAUGAAAUAUUUAUUUCUUUUUUUUUUUUUCUUUGUAUCGAACGGUCAUCAGAUAUUACGGUUCGUCUUAUUUUUCCCUUUCCAAGUUCUCCCGGUGUACAUAAAAAUCUCGUUAGAGUGAAAUUAAAUCCAGGAAUUUCCAUCGGCGUAUACUUAUCAGCUAUGUUAUAAGGAGUUCGUUUCAUCGUGUAUCUUACUUAUAACGUAUCAUGCUCGCAUGUUUAAUACUCAUUGUUGAACUUUCCAUUACAAAAAGAUAUACGUAGUAUAGUGGUAUACGUAGCAAGGAAACCUCGGAAUAAUCCUAUCAAUAGUAAAAGCUAUCUAGUUAUGUAAACUGUCAAAGUUGUAAACUGUCGCAAUUAAUUUGCGUGUAUUAUAAUCGAGAAGAUUUCUUAUUCGCCAUAAGGCGAAAUGGCAAAUUGACCAAAUUACAUUCAAGGUCUUAGAUAUAAUUUCUUAAUAUUAACUUUAAGCUUUCUAGCUUUUUGAUUAUAUCUUUAAAUUGAUAAUUAUAAAGAAGCUCGUAUAGAACUUAUAAAGAAUCUCUUAGAAAACUUUGUUUCCUAUUUUAUAUUUAGAAAAUAAUUGAAAUUUAAAAUAAUUCAACUGUUUGGCUAGAAGAUACCUACAAGCUCUUUUAUUGGAAAACUCUUCAAUUACGCUACAAUUUCAUUCUUCGUUUUACCUAAAUACCAUUUUUAUCUGAAUUGCACAAAGUAUGUUAAUACAAAUAUUAAAUAAUAAACAUUGGAGUAAAAAACAAGCUAAAUUAUUAUAGAAUAAUCCAUUUUGGUAAUCUUUACAAUCGAUGAUAUAAAUAAUGAUUGAUUAAGAAGCCAAUGGUUUUUACCUUUCUGGCUCUAGUUUUAAUUCGUACAUCUACUAUUCUAUUCGCCACAUAAAUUAUACAAGUGUAAGUUUCCUCAGUCGAUACUAAUUAUUGACAUUCCUUAUCGGAUUAGGAAUGACCCGAUUAUGUACAUAUUCUAGGUACUCUACCGAAAAUAUCGCUCAAAAUAAAUUUCUCGAUCUAUCGAAAUUUCAUACUUGAUAGAUUCUCAUCCGGUUAAUUUUAUCGCGUUCAUGUGAUCUGAAAGACCGCUGACUCGAUUAACCACUUCACAUUCAGAUAAAAGUUAGAGGUAUCUAGAAAAAAACGCAAUACGAGACCGAGUAGAGAAAACGAAACAACAAUAAAAAUGAUAUAUCGUUAUUAUUAAACCGUUAUCGUAAUAUGUUAUUAAAAAAAUCAAAGAAAAUACAUUCGGAAGAAAAAAUUAUCUGCUUGUUCUCUUGCUAAUCAUUCGUAUUAUUCUUCGAGUUAUUAAUUACAAUUUAUCAAGAGGACAAUAUGAAUCAUAUGCGGCUCCACAUUACAUUUAUUAACUUCUCAAUUUCAUUACAUAAAUUCAUUAUUUUUCAUUCAUUGCAUCAAUUUUAUAUUCAUAUUCAUAUUUAUGUUCACAUUCAUAUUCAUGUUCGUAUUCAUAUUCAUAUUGAAUAGUUGAAAGACAAAUAAAUACAUGAAAUCAUAAAACAUAACAGUUGGUUUAGGAAAGUAGAUGAAAUUUUUAAUAAAUUUUUUAUAAGAUGAAAAAGAGGCUGGCCAGUGGUUCGAUUAAUCGAUUCCUAUAUAUGGUAAAAUUUUAAAGAAAUCUGAAUCAAUUAUCUAUAUUAUACAUAUUAAUAAUCCUCGUGGUACAGCGAAACCUUCUUUGAAAGUAAAUUAUUUUUCUAGACUGUAGAGGACUUCAACCUAUCGACAAUUAACAUAGAACACCGUGAAAAUAAAAAUUUCAAGAAACGAUAGAGAUAGCGGACAGUCAAUUAAAGAGGUAGAUAACUUUAAUGAUUUCGCUUCCCUUGAUUUUCAUUUUUUUACGCAAUCGAGGAAAUAAUCACCAGUAACUAUACGUCGCUAGAUUUCUCUCUUGAACUUGGAUUUUAUCAGUUUCCGUUGUUGAACGAUAACAAACAUUUGCUUUUUUUCAAAGAAAUAUGUAUUCAUCUUUUAUGCCAUCUUUAUAUGGCAGUACGAUUAGCAGAGAUUAACUAAUCAAAAAGUUUGCAGAGAUCAGCUAUAAUCAGCUGUGUUAUAUGAAUCAUGCAUCGGUAAAAUUAUUCUUCCUUUUCUUUUAGUAAACAUUUUACAAACAUAUAGAUUUCGUCCAAACAGUGGCUACAGAAAUACUGGUCAUUAUCAAACUGCGGCUUUUUACAGAGAUUUAUAUUUUUAAAAAUAUAAUUGAAAUAGUGUAGCCUUGACAAAAAAUUGUUUUACCCAUCAACUAUUACGCAAAGCACUACACUAUUUCAUAUUUUAUAUAUUUUCUUAUAUUAAACGCGUUCUGUGCAAUUUUGCACCUUCAAAUUUUCUAUUAAUAUUUAUAUCAUUGUAUUUAUUAUGUUCAAGUUAAUUAGAUUCAGGUACAUGAAAUUUCGUACUAUGUGUUUGUUAGUAUCUUUAAAUAUAAUUCGAAAAAUUUGAUAUUACGAAAGCGAAGCGUAAAGCCUGAUAACGUGAGCGCGAUUGAAAUUAAUAAAUACUAUAAUCCUUCGAAUUUUAUUUUUAGAAGAAGAGAGUACAUUUUGUAUUAUACAAUAUUAAUUGAUACCAUCGAUACAAUUUCGAGAGACGUUUUAUCUUAAUCUAUUAUUGGAUAUUAUUGUGUUUAACAAUUGAUAUGAUCUAUUAUUCCCUUCUUCGCCUCCUGGUUUCAUGUAUAUUUUAUAUAAUUAAUCGUAACUCAAUCCGCUUUUAUUUACUCAAAAAAAAAAAAAAAAAAAAAAAAAACGUGAAUAAAUACGUAAAAAGUCGGAGGAAAAUAUCUUAUACGUUGCUUCAUAGAUGCUGAUUAUACUAAUGUAAUAGACAUGUGAAGGUGUCAUAAUUUCAAAGAGGAUAAUUUAUUAUGAUGUUAUGAAUUCGUACUCCAAAGUUCAUCAAAUUCUAAGGAUAAAAAUAGCAAUUAAUGAUAAAUUAUUAAUGAAUUUUUCAAAACUUUUUGUCGCAUUAUUACCAUCGCCUUGAGAAUAACAUAGGAAGGAAAUAUUUGCAAAGUCAUAUCUUAUAAAAUGCACGUGUUAUAUGCCAAUCGAUAUAUUUUAACGCAUAGAUUACGAAAAUAUUAGAAUAACCCUGUGGAAAAUAGUGGAAGAAAGAUUGCAAAUCAUAUGUAAUAUGAACAUAACUUUAGUUUUUAAGAAAUUAAUCUGUAAACCCUUUGUAAUUUAUAUUUCAUUAACAUACACAUAGCUAGAGAUGAAAUGUUACAUUAACAUAACAUUUUCUAUCGAGGAAAUUAAUCUAAUAAAUCAUUCCACAUUGUUGGAUACAUAUGCAGAUAGUGGUAAAAAAUGCAACUGUUUAGCUCUCGUAGUAGUCGCACACUUCUCAUGAACAUUAUCACGUAUGUUAAACGAAACAUUUCAAAAUUUUAUUGGUACUGUAACGACGCCCAAGUAUUAUGAUUAUUAAUAACUAUUAUUUGAUAGAAUUUUGGAUUUUUGGGAUUCCUUUUUUUGAGUUUUUUGUAAACGUAUAUAGAAAUUGCAAGAUGUAUAUAUUUUGCAGACACAAAAAUAUUUGAACAGGCAAUCAUUCACUUUAAUAGUUAUUAUAAUAUGCCUAAGAUUUUUCUACUAAUUAUUCAUAAUACUAACUUUUCACAAAAUAUAAGUUUACAGUAAAUACCUUGCAACUUCUAAGUAUGCAUGUAUAUUUUCAAAUUGGAUUUGAGUUUUGCCGACAUAGUCAUAUCAGUCGUGUCUCAUCACAGCGUUAAUAAAAUUUCAGAAUGUUUUAUAUAAUACGCAUGACACGCACAUGAAAAUUUUUCAUGGUAAAUGUACGAAUACCUUUGCGAGCCAAUUUGUAUGUAUACAUAUGGAUAUAUAUUUGAUCUUUAUAUCUUUCUAAUAUCUUCGGAUAUAGAUAAUAUCAUAGCAUAUACUGAAGUCAUAUAUCGGUCGUAUAUACCUAUGUAUUAUGACAAAGUAUUUUCUAUUUUUAACCUCAUCUAAUGUCUCGCUGAUAAACCACACCCGCGGAAAUGGACAUUCGAUAACAACCUACUAUUAAUGGCUUCUCUUCAGCUUAACGAACGUAAGACGUGCUCGUAAAUCUAUCUACUUUAAUGAUCAACGAUAAUGCGACAUAUCGACAUUUGCAGUUAUACAUGGAUUUUAAUAUACCGCACGAUCUUUGAUUUUCUAUCGAAACUACUUCGAAGCGUUGUUCCGUAGAAAGAAGAACUUCAAGAAUUCAUUAAACGUUACCGGGGACGGUAAAAGACGAAAUCAGGUAAUCCGAAAAUCCCCAAAAACACAGAGGAAUCUGUUUUCAGCUGAAUCUUGACGUCAUCGUUUACCGAAGUCGAUUUGUACUGCAAUUUUUAUCUUGUACCACGAGGUAAGGAGUUAAAAUCUUCUGCUUAUUCACACGAUUAUUUCAGAUACAUUUUUUUCGCGUCAUGAGUUAAUAUUUGUCCAAUUCAUAAUCAAACUGCCAGUUAUAAUGGAAAAUUUGUAAUUUGCAUCGAACGAUAAGGAACGGCCAUCUGCCUGAGCUGCAAAGGUUUUCUUAAUUACAUUCUGUUAUUUUAUCCUUUUGGAUUGUUUUAUUAAUCUUGUGCAUUAUUUGUACAAGCUAAACCAACCUUUUUCCCGUUUGCGUCAGCCACAGUUUAUACAACAAGUAAUGAAAGAACAUAUACAAAGUGUUUCUGAAUAGAACGGUUAUCAGUAUGAGAAAUAUUUAUGGUAAACGAUAUUUCAUCUGAUUAUGCACUACACCUGAAGGAGAAAAGAGAAAAAGAAAUUAAAAUUUCCUACAGCUGCUUAAGACAAGAAACUCACAAUCAGUUACCAACUCGAAAUUCGUUAAUUGGAUAAAAUACAUGCCUAUACAUACAUAUAUUAAAAGGAUCGGAAAACGUAUUUACGUAAUACUUCUCAUCGUUUAGGAUUGCAUCGAAGAACCACGUACUACUCAUUUUAUGAGACUGAAUGAUAAAUCUGAUAAGAUUUUAGAAUAACAUGUUUAUAAAAUAUAAAUACUUCGGUUAUCAAUAUUCCUAAAGUUAGAUGAAAGAAUUUAAUUGUAAAGAAAUGAUUAAGAAAUGUCUGAGAGACAAAUAGAUGAUAAUCCUGCUUCUUAAUGACCAUCGU